ensembl:lncRNA
GUUGCACGCUGAUGGGGAGCUGCUGCCUUUGUUCAGCCUCUCAAGCAAGCGUGGUUCCUCGUACCACUGGCCUGGGAAAGAUCAAAGCUCAAAGGACGGUUUCUACUGUGUGCCGAUGGCUUUCAUACCACCAUAAGGAGGAAAAAUUUUGUCUUUUCCGGGUACCAUUGGAGAAAUUUAACUAUGAAGCUCAUGAGGGAUGGCAAAGUCUGAGCACCCUGGAUGGCGCUGUGCACGCGGAGGGUGAAGUUGUGGUCCCUGCUUCUCAGCAUUCUGGUGAAUCGGUUAUGCAGUGCUUUUCUAGGAAGUGGCUCUGAAUCCGCAUGCACCUCUACACUUCUGUGAAAUGGUAGAGAUGCUUCACUUGUGAGAGGAAGACUGAGGUCUCCAGUUUAAAACCUUUAGUGAGCAGUGACUUGGGGAGUGACUGUCCUGUAUGAUGCGUGCCCCUCAAAGUUACCGCUCUGCAGGCUCCAGACUUCUUCGUCGUGGGUUGUGGUCUGAGCCGUGUCCUUGUGCCGAUUGUACUGGGAAUUGAACCCAGGGCUUUUACACUGAGCUACAUCACCAGCCCUUUGCAUCUUGAGACAGAAUCUUGUGAAGUCUCUAAUUGCCCAGGCUGGAUUUGAACUUGCAGUCCUCUUGCCUCAGCCUACAAUGCCAUGCAUGGUUUCAUAAGUGUUGUUAGAAAGCUACAUUCCCCAAAAAGCCUACGAUUUUUAUAACUCCUCCCCACCUUCUAGCAGACUUAAUACAAGUUUAUCCCAAUAUGUAUAAGUCUUGCAAACAGGACAUUCAACCAGUCUGUGCAUCAGUCACUCCCUGGAACACCCGGAGACCUGUCUUCCUCGCGCUCCAUGGCAGGUUCUGGGGAUGGGGCUGACAGUGGACACUCACUGGCACACCAGCCAGUGCCUACAUCACUGGAGUCCCACAUUGUGACUGUCGCCCUGGGCCAGGAGGCCGCUGUUACCCCAGGUGCAUGACCCUGGCAGACAGUGCUUCAACCCUGAGGCCCAGCUCCAGCCCUUCCUCCCCUGCUGCUUCUCCAGCCUUCCUGUUCCAUGGCCGGGCAGCUUGUCCUCUUCUCCACUGAGUCCAGUCUCUGCAUGAAGCAGAUCUUAAGCACAGCAUUUUCAUCUUUCUGUUCAUCACCCUGGAAUGGGUGCAGAUUCCCCAGUGCCUGAGCAAGAUGACUUCAGGGACUUUCUAGGCAAGACCGUGCCUUUUCCUUCUGAGAGAAAUAAAAUGAGCCGAAUCAUGAACACCCAAGGCAAGGCUUUUAUCAAAGGACAGAGCUAUCGGGCUGUCUGGAACAACGUCAAGAGCGGCAACCUGGGGCUGGCUGGGUGAGGUUUAUAAGGACUGGGGGUAGUGUGGUAGAGGCAGAUGAUUGGCUACGACUCGGGGUGAGGUGGGGAAAAAGCAGGUCUUUGUUCUCUCUGGAGUGACUCAUUUCCUGUAGGCAGGGCCAUUUUAGGAUGCAGGGUUGUUGGGACCAUUUUAUCUAGCAGAGAACUCUAUCACCUUCCACGGUUCCUCGUCCUCUAGCGUCCUGUGUUGGGUUUUCCCAGAAGACAACUUUAAGAGGAGGAUUUGAGUCCAAGGGAUUUAUUUUGGGGGUGAAGUGAGUGGUUUCCCCCAUGAGCACCUGCAUGACCACACAGCAUCUCUGAAUUACCCCAUGCAGGGAAGGUGAGCGAGCAUGGGGGUUCCCCUCCAUUCCCUGGGGUCAUCAGGUGGAGCUGCGGUGGCAUGGCCAGCUGCCAGGGCAUGCCUGUCAUGGUGAGCAGCAAAGCUGUCGUCUUGGUGACUUUGGAAGCCUCGGGAGGAAGCACUCAGGUCAGCAAUGGGCUUCCUAGGGUCCUUAUGCUUGGCUCACGACUUGCAGUUAGAGCCCCACAGGAGAUGCUGACAGCCCCUAGCCCCUCCUCCAGGCACAGGGGCGUCUGCAGAGGUCUUACUCACUGCUUCGCUCUUUACCAAUUCCAGAAUUACAGUUGAUUAUCCUCUGUUUGGUGAGCCUGCUCUCAUCUGAAAGACCAUGAACUAGGUGCUAUGGUGGCAAUCAGCCAAGGGUUCUUUUGCUCAAUUCAUAUGGAAAUUAUGACUUGGCAAAGUGCAGUUCUGCUGGCAGCCCUGAUUUCACCAGAUGCCAACAGGUGAUGCAGCCAGCUGCUGCCAGCUAUCACCUUCCAGCACCAGCUUAGGCUGGACACUGUAAAUGAGCUCUAAUGGGUGCUGGUCACUGCCACUGCCGGCCACCACCUGGUCUCUGCUGCUGGUCUCUGGAGCUCUUUGGUAUCAACAGCUCUUCGUGUUUCUUCUCUUUCUUUGGAAAUGACCGCUGUGUCUGUGCUACUCAGGGUACAAGUCCCAAGUGGAUUUACAGGACUUCUGGAGCCCACACUACCCAAGAAAUAAAUCGUGAACAGGUUUACAGGACCUCCAAGGCGGCCGGCCUAUGGGAGAAGAACUAACCAGACAGAGCUGCUCAAGACCCUUUCCAGCUGGGCAACCCAUAGGAACAGAAACGAAGGUGGCUCGAGCCUGGGGUUAAACCGGCAGAAUCACGGUUAGCCACCCUGCGGCCGGAGCCCAGAGAACUGGGCUGUUCUGGAUGAGUUAUGCUGCCUAGCAGAUCACCCAAACCUCACAGCUUAAAAGCACGAUACCUGCAUUGUCUUAGUUUCUGAGUCAGAGAUCCACGCACAGCUGACUGGGGCACCUUUCUCUCUUUCACAGUGCGGAAUCACAUUGGCAGCCCCGGGCGGGUCUUAGCGGGAGAAUCUGCCUCCAAGACCCAGCCCUUGCAGACCGAGGCCAGCUUCCAGCAUGGCUGUGACUGGCCAAGGGUCACUCAUUCCCACGCUUUCCAACACAGCUGGGUGCAAGCCAAGGAGGCAAGCAGCAGAGUCAAUCUUUUCCAAGCUCUCUGUGGAAUGGAUGUCACUUAUCCAUGCCCUGUGCCAUAUUUUAUUGGUUAGAAACAACUCAUUAGGCGCGCACCCUGGGGGAGGUGGCUACAUAAUAAGCCCAGGAACACAGGAAGUAGAUCACGGAGGGAUGCCUGAGAAGUCUGCCUACCACAGUGUCUUCAGCCCCUGGUUACAGCAGGUGCUCAAUAAUGUUCGUCAUUUUGGAUUUUGGUGUUCCUACCACAACAGGACUAGUUGGAAAAUUGCACUACAAAAAUAAUAAACUUCAGGGCCGGGGAUUUAGCUCAGUGGUUCCACAGCCUGCUUUGCAAGGACAAGGACCUGAGUUUGUUCGCCGGUACCAAAAAUAAAUAAAUAAAUAAACUUCAGGUGUUAGAGGGGGCUGAUCUGAUGGGAAAUUCUGUUCUCUCUGGGGGACAAAUUCACCAGGAAUUCAGUCCUGUCCUCAUGGCUGGACUGUCCUGGGGGUGAGCCUAUAUCCUUUACCUCAACACCUUCAACAUUUAGCAGAGCCUCCUCAACACAUGAAAGGAGCUUGGAGAGCAUGGAAUGGAUUAUGGAUGGAGGAAUGGUCAAGAGAACGAUAAACUCUCUACUCCUCAGACACCCUCUGUCCACCAACCAGGAUAUACUUUUUUUUGGUGUGUGUGCUGGUGGGAAUUGAACCCAGAGCCUUGGGCAUACUAGGCAAAUGCUGUACACUGAGCUGGGCCCUCGGCACCAGGCUCCAGGUUUAACAAAACAUGGACUUUGAAAAGUGGGCACAGAAAGGGGAAAUCUACUACUUCACUAACAGUUUUUUUGACUGAACAGGUGUCAACAAGGCUUUCCCCAUGUUGGCCCUGGGUGUUUUCAUCUCUCAAUCAUACUUUUCAAAAUCCUAAUCUGAGAAAAAUCUAUAUUAUGAACAAAUAGAAACUGUACCAAGUAAAAUCUGAGCAUGCCAUAAUGGUCAGAAGGAGUCUUCCCGGCCCAGGCCCUGGGCAAAUGGGAUUUAGAAUCUCGAUUAUCUGUAGAUGUUUAGUAGAAAGAACUGAGGCACUGAAUGUACUCUAAGGAGUUGUGUUGCGCUUGUGGCUUUUAUCCGGAUAUCCCCCAAAAGCCUUGAGUGCUCACAGACUGGGCUUUGGAGGAUGGCAAUCAGGGGCUGAUGUCGCCCUUGUUGCUAGGAGACUGGGUUGCUAGGAGACCGGGUUGGCUCAGAAGAGGUGGGCUUGCUGGGGGUGACAUGGAGGGGGUGAACCCCCCUCCUACCCUCCCCUGCUUCCUCACCACCAUGACGUGAGCAGCUUUCCUGCCACCAGGCCAUGUCUGUGUUUCCUCCUGCCAAUCAUGGACUGAAACUUCUGAAACUAUGAGCCAAAAUAAACCUCUACUCCUUUGAG